CAUUCUUUCUCCCGAACUCCCCUUUCACCCGAUCCUUUCCUUCCCCGACUCCUCUCCCUCGCGAUCUCGGGUCAUCGCCGGUCGCCGAGCAUCAACGCCGAUCGUCGGCGACGGUCUUCUCCAGGGGCUUCAGCCGAUCCUUUUAGGGCGAUGGCACUGCGAUUCCUUUUCCUCUCCCUCUCCUCCCUCUCGAUGCGUGGAGUGGUUUCUCCUCUUCCUCUCUCGCCUGCGGACGACCCGACGCCGACGGCUUCCCCAGCGAUCUCGGCUUCGUCGUGUCACCAGGGGGAAAGCGUCACUCGAUCUUGAUGGCUCCGACCAUCUCCGACGCUGCGAUCUCCUCUUUGGCUGUGCUGGCACACGAGGCAAGGGCUCGGCGACUAGGGCAUUGCGGGGAAGUUACUCCGUGUCAUUCACAGGCGUCCGAUCGCCUCUGAAUCUUCUUCUCGAUCGGUUCACUGGAGUGCAUUCCGGAUCUUCACUAGCUGAAGAGGAUCGCACUACAUUACUUGGAGGCGACAAAUUGAGGUAAUGUAGUGUCGGGGAUCAUUGUGGAUUCAAGAAUCUGGGUUUAUAGGGUUCCAACUGUGAUGUUUCUCUUGUUUUGGAUUGGAGGUAAGCAUCGGAUCAAAGUAUGGUGGAGGUCCCUAUUGUCGAUCACCACCCUCUCCAAUUCUUGAAGUGUGGAGGCCACGGGUGAAGAUGGAGGGUUUGUUGAGGUGUGUAUGCGCCCUUGUAGCAUGGACAGGGAAUCAUGGUGGUGAGCUGCUGUAUUGCUACUAAAAAUCUCACGGACUUUGAUAUGAGACGUUCAUCACGAUGUGGUGGGUCUGUUGAUACGAGAUAUCUUAAGGC